CUGGUGAGCCUGGGUGAGCCUGGUGAGCCUCGGUGAGCCUGGUGAGCCUGGGUGAGCCUGGUGAGCCUGGCUGAGCUUGGGUGAGCCUGGGUGAGCCUGGCUAAGCCUGGUGAGCUGGGUGAGCCUAGGUGAGCCUGGUGAGCUGGGUGAGCCUGGCUGAGCUUGGGUGAGCCUGGGUGAGCCUGGCUAAGCCUGGUGAGCCUGGGUGAGCCUGGGUGAGCCUGGUGAGCCUGGGUGAGGUGCCCAUUUUGUGCUGCACACCAGCUUCAUGCACAGAGACCUUUUGAGGAAGCCACUGCUCUGCCCUCCCCAGCUCCAGCUUUGUCUCCUGUAUACCACAUCCUCUCUCAGUGACUUGUCUGCUCCCGACAGAAGUCCUGGCCCUUGAGGUGGUGAAACGUAUACCACACGAGAGACUGGGAAGGAAGCGCAAGCAGCCAGAGCAGACACCAUCAGGUCCGGGCUUCCGUGACUCCACAGAGUAUCCUCACUGGCCCUCCUGGGCUUUGAGCCUUCAGAGGCGGGUGAGAGGGAAGGACAUGAGGGAGCAGGUCCAGGGAGAAGUGGCCCACGUUAGUGAAGUAGCUGGAAGAUGGAGAAGCAACACAGGGUGUUAAAUAUUUCUGGGGCACCGGCAAGCAGCGUGAGCUAGUGCCUGCGCGUGUCCUCGCAGUUACGUGAGCUAGUGCCUGCGUGUGUCCUCCCAGUUACGUGAGCUAGUGCCUGCGUGUGUCCUCCCAGUUACGUGAGUUGGAGUGACCUCUGUCUGUGAAGAAGUGGUUGACAGUACUGAAGCAUGUGUGUCACAUCUUUCUUCCCCCUCUUUUUGUUUAUUUUAGACAGGAUCUCACUGUGUAGCCCUCGAAGGCCUUGAACUUUUGAAAUUUCAGCAAUCUUCCUGGCUCUGCCUUCCAAGAACUUAGAUUAUAAGUGUGCCACAACACCCAACUAUUAUUAUUAUUAA